AGCGAACGCUGGCGGCAGGCCUAAUACAUGCAAGUCGAACGGUCUCUUCGGAGGCAGUGGCGGACGGGUGAGUAACGCGUGGGAACGUGCCCUUUGGUACGGAACAACUGAGGGAAACUUCAGCUAAUACCGUAUGUGCCCUUCGGGGGAAAGAUUUAUCGCCAUUGGGGCGGCCCGCGUUGGAUUAGCUAGUUGGUGGGGUAAUGGCCCACCAAGGCGACGAUCCAUAGCUGGUCUGAGAGGAUGAUCAGCCACACUGGGACUGAGACACGGCCCAGACUCCUAUGGGAGGCAGCAGUAGGGAAUCUUGCGCAAUGGGCGAAAGCCUGACGCAGCCAUGCCGCGUGAAUGAUGAAGGUCUUAGGAUUGUAAAAUUCUUUCACCGGGGACGAUAAUGACGGUACCCGGAGAAGAAGCCCCGGCUAACUUCGUGCCAGCAGCCGCGGUAAU
rnacentral:rRNA from 1 species